rnacentral:rRNA from 1 species
AUUGAACGCUGGCGGCAUGCUUUACACAUGCAAGUCGGACGGCAGCACAGAGGAGCUUGCUUCUUGGGUGGCGAGUGGCGAACGGGUGAGUAACGCAUCGGAACGUACCGAGUAAUGGGGGAUAACUGUCCGAAAGGACAGCUAAUACCGCAUACGCCCUGAGGGGGAAAGCGGGGGAUCUUAGGACCUCGCGUUAUUCGAGCGGCCGAUGUCUGAUUAGCUGGUUGGCGGGGUAAAGGCCCACCAAGGCGACGAUCAGUAGCGGGUCUGAGAGGAUGAUCCGCCACACUGGGACUGAGACACGGCCCAGACUCCUACGGGAGGCAGCAGUGGGGAAUUUUGGACAAUGGGCGCAAGCCUGAUCCAGCCAUGCCGCGUGUCUGAAGAAGGCCUUCGGGUUGUAAAGGACUUUUGUCAGGGAAGAAAAGGGGCAUGUUAAUACCGUGCUUCUGAUGACUGUACCUGAAGAAU